AUUGAACGCUGGCGGCAGGCUUAACACAUGCAAGUCGAGCGGGGUGAUGGUGCUUGCACUAUCACUUAGCGGCGGACGGGUGAGUAAUGCUUAGGAAUCUGCCUAUUAGUGGGGGACAACAUCUCGAAAGGGAUGCUAAUACCGCAUACGUCCUACGGGAGAAAGCAGGGGAUCACUUGUGACCUUGCGCUAAUAGAUGAGCCUAAGUCGGAUUAGCUAGUUGGUGGGGUAAAGGCCUACCAAGGCGACGAUCUGUAGCGGGUCUGAGAGGAUGCUCCGCCACACUGGGACUGAGACACGGCCCAGACUCCUACGGGAGGCAGCAGUGGGGAAUAUUGGACAAUGGGGGGGACCCUGAUCCAGCCAUGCCGCGUGUGUGAAGAAGGCCUUAUGGUUGUAAAGCACUUUAAGCGAGGAGGAGGCUCUUUUGGUUAAUACCCAAGAUGAGUGGACGUUACUCGCAGAAUAAGCACCGGCUAACUCUGUGCCAGCCGCCGCGAUAA
rnacentral:rRNA from 1 species